rnacentral:rRNA from 1 species
AUUGAACGCUGGCGGCAGGCUUAACACAUGCAAGUCGAACGGUAGCAGGAAGAAAGCUUGCUUUUUUUGCUGACGAGUGGCGGACGGGUGAGUAAUGCUUGGGAAUCUGGCUUAUGGAGGGGGAUAACUGUGGGAAACUGCAGCUAAUACCGCGUAUAAUCGAGAGAUGAAAGGGUGGGACCGUAAGGCCACUUGCCAUAAGAUGAGCCCAAGUGGGAUUAGGUAGUUGGUGGGGUAAGGGCCUACCAAGCCUGCGAUCUCUAGCUGGUCUGAGAGGAUGGCCAGCCACACUGGGACUGAGACACGGCCCAGACUCCUACGGGAGGCAGCAGUGGGGAAUAUUGCGCAAUGGGGGGAACCCUGACGCAGCCAUGCCGCGUGAAUGAAGAAGGCCUUCGGGUUGUAAAGUUCUUUCGGUGAUGAGGAAGGGGUAUUAUUGAAUAGAUAAUAUCAUUGACGUUAAUUACAGAAGAAGCACCGGCUAACUCCGU